CCUACGGGAGGCAGCAGUGGGGGAUAUUGGACAAUGGGGGGAACCCUGAUCCAGCGACGCCGCGUGAGUGAAGAAGUAUUUCGGUAUGUAAAGCUCUGUCAGCAGGGAAGAAAGCAAUGACGGUACCUGACCAAGAAGCCCCGGCUAACUACGUGCCAGCAGCCGCGGUAAUACGUAGGGGGCAAGCGUUAUCCGGAAUUACUGGGUGUAAAGGGAGCGUAGACGGCUGUGGAAGUCUGGAGUGAAAGGCGGGGGCCCAACCCCCGGACUGCUCUGGAUACUGGAUGGCUGGAGUGCAGGUGAGGUAAGCGGAAUUCGUGGUGUAGCGGUGAAAUGCGUAGAUAUUAGGAGGAACACCAGUGGCGAAGGCGGCUUACUGAACUGUAACUGACGUUGAUGCUCGAAAGCGUGGGGAGCAAACAGGAUUAGAUACCCUAGUAGUC
rnacentral:rRNA from 1 species